rnacentral:rRNA from 1 species
AAUAGAUACCCAGGUAGUCCUAGCCGUAAACUAUGAGCACUGGGUUGGAGGGUCCUCCAUAGCCUUCCAGCCGCAGCGAAAGUGUUAAGUGCUCCGCCUGGGGAGUAUGGUCGCAAGGCUGAAACUCAAAGAAAUUGACGGGGGCUCACACAAGCGGUGGAGGAUGUGGCUUAAUUCGAGGCUACGCGAAGAACCUUAUCCUAGUCUUGACAUGCACGGAUUAACUCCUGGAAACAGGAGCCAGGCCUUCGGGUACAACGUGCACAGGUGCUGCAUGGCUGUCGUCAGCUCGUGCUGUGAAGUGUCGGGUUAAGUCCCUUAACGAGCGAAACCCUUGUCGCUAGUUGCCAGCGAGUAAUGUCGGGGACUCUAGCGAGACCGCCGGCGUUAAGCCGGAGGAAGGCGGGGAUGACGUCAAGUCCUCAUGGCCUUUAUGACUAGGGCUGCACACGUCCUACAAUGGCGCGCACAAAGGGGAUGCAAAAUCGCGAGAUCAAGCAAAUCCCAAAAACGCGCCCCAGUUCGG